AAGUUUUAUGACAAAGUGUACAUCGCAGUGAUAAUCGGGAGAUCGUAAAGACGCUGUAAGUACAUCCUGGUAAGCUCAAACCGCGCCAUCCCUGGCGCUGAUGCUUU
rnacentral:ncRNA from 1 species